UUUAUUGGGCGUAAAGCGAGCGCAGGCGGUUUUUUAAGUCUGAUGUGAAAGCCUUCGGCUCAACCGAAGAAGUGCAUCGGAAACUGGGAAACUUGAGUGCAGAAGAGGACAGUGGAACUCCAUGUGUAGCGGUGAAAUGCGUAGAUAUAUGGAAGAACACCAGUGGCGAAGGCGGCUGUCUGGUCUGUAACUGACGCUGAGGCUCGAAAGUAUGGGUAGCAAACAGGAUUAGAUACCCUGGUAGUCCAUACCGUAAACGAUGAAUGCUAAGUGUUGGAGGGUUUCCGCCCUUCAGUGCUGCAGCUAACGCAUUAAGCAUUCCGCCUGGGGAGUACGGCCGCAAGGCUGAAACUCAAAGGAAUUGACGGGGGCCCGCACAAGCGGUGGAGCAUGUGGUUUAAUUCGAAGCUACGCGAAGAACCUUACCAGGUCUUGACAUACUAUGCAAAUCUAAGAGAUUAGACGUUCCCUUCGGGGACAUGGAUACAGGUGGUGCAUGGUUGUCGUCAGCUCGUGUCGUGAGAUGUUGGGUUAAGUCCCGCAACGAGCGCAACCCUUAUUAUCAGUUGCCAGCAUUAAGUUGGGCACUCUGGUGAGACUGCCGGUGACAAACCGGAGGAAGGUGGGGAUGACGUCAAAUCAUCAUGCCCCUUAUGACCUGGGCUACACACGUGCUACAAUGGAUGGUACAACGAGUUGCGAACUCGCGAGAGUAAGCUAAUCUCUUAAAGCCAUUCUCAGUUCGGAUUGUAGGCUGCAACUUGCCUACAUGAAGUCGGAAUCGCUGUAAUCGCGGAUCAGCAUGCCGCGGUGAAUACGUUCCCGGGCCUUGUACACACCGCCCGUCAC
rnacentral:rRNA from 1 species